rnacentral:rRNA from 1 species
UACGUAGGGGGCAAGCGUUGUCCGGAAUCAUUGGGCGUAAAGAGCGCGUAGGUGGUCCGGUAAGUCCGCUCUGAAAGUCCGGGGCUCAACCCCGGGAGGCGGGCGGAUACUGUCGGGCUAGAGUCCGGAAGAGGCGAGUGGAAUUCCUGGUGUAGCGGUGAAAUGCGCAGAUAUCAGGAGGAACACCAAUAGCGAAGGCAGCUCGCUGGGACGGUACUGACGCUAAGGCGCGAAAGCGUGGGGAGCGAACAGG